rnacentral:misc_RNA from 1 species
UUGAACAAAACUUCUGGCUGGGUGAUUGUUGUGCUGGCCCUUCGGGGCAGUGUGCACACCUCUGGUCAUUUGUUUAUUCUGUUCCACCCGUGCACUGCCUGUAGACACAAGCUGUCUAUGAUAUUGUCACACACACACAUGAUGUUUUGCAUAUUGGUUGGCAUAUUACAUAUGUAUGAUAAACAUGUAUAAUA